rnacentral:lncRNA from 1 species
UUUUCUGUUUUCUUUGGGUGUGUUUUCUCUGGGAGUGUUUUCUAUUUUCUCUGGGUGUGUUGUCUCUGGGUGUGUUUUCUGUUAUCUCUGGGUGUGUUGUCUCUGGGUGUGUUUUCUGUUAUCUCUGGUGUUUUACUUGGGUGUGUUUUCUUUGGGUGUGUUUUCUCUGAGUGUUUUCUGUUGUCUGUGGGUGUUUUCUCUGGGUGUGUUGUCUGUUUUCUUAGGGUGUGUUAUCUCUGGGUGUUUUCUGUUUUCUCUGGGUGUGUUUUCUCUUUUCUUUGUGUGUUUUCUCUGGGUGUGUUUUCUCUGGGUGUGUUUUCUGUUUUCUCUGGGUGUGUUUUCUAUGGGUGUGUUUUCUGUUGUCUCUGGUGUGUUUUCUCUGGGUCUGUUAUGUGUUUUCUCUGGGUAUGUUUUCUCGGUGUGUUUUCUGUGUUCCGGAGUGUUUUCUCUUGGUGUGUGUUCUCUGUUUUCAAUUUUCUCUGUGUGUUGUCUGUUUUCUCUGGGUGUGUUUUCUAAGUGUGUUUUCUGUGUUCCGGAGUGUUUUCUCUGGGUGUGUUUUGUCUGGGUGUGUUUUCUCUGUUUUGUCUGGGUAUGUUUUCUCUGUUUUGUCUUGGUGUGUUUUCUGUUUUCUCUGGGUGUUUUUUCUGGGUGUGUUUUAAAAGAAAAAAAAAGUCAGACUUUUUAGUCACAGGCUAAGAUUUUGCAAAGACUAGGGCUUACUAUUUGUGAGACUGCAACUAGAUUCUUUCUGAGAUAAUUUUCUCUUCCCUCUUACUUUUUUUUUUUUUUCUUUCAUGGGGUGGUCCAGUUUCAUCAUAUCGUUUUUGAUGGUCUUUUUGACUGCACUGGAGGAUACUUGCUAAUUCUUGAUUCUUUUUUUUCCAUCCAACUGACCCUUAUUUCUUAAAGAUUUUUUUCUUUACUUACUUGAGUCGUUUUUGCCCUAAUAUGAAAAAGAACAUUACUUAAUGCUAUUCACUCUAUACUAAUGCUCCCUCUUCACAACAAAACUGAAGGUCUAUACCAUUAUGGGGAUGACUUAUACAGGUCCUUCUGAAAAAAAAAUUGCAUAUUGUGAUAAAGUUCAUUCUUUUCCAUAAUGAAAUGAUAAUUAAACUUUCAUAUAUUUUAGAUUCAUUGCACACCAACUGAAAUAUUUCAGGUCUUUUAUUGUUUUAAUACUGAUGAUUUUGGCAUACAACCCAUGAAAAUCCAAAAUUCCUAUCUCACAAAAUUAGCAUAUCAUGAA